GCUAAAAAGGGAGAAAGGAACAUUAUAAAUAUAGGAAAAAUAGGACAGAAUAUGGGAAUAAGCUGGUCAUUUACUGCCGACUGGUUAGUUUCAUUUAUUGUAAUAUUUAUGAAAAAAACGAAAAGAGAAAAUUCCUAGUACAAUUUCAGAUUUUUUGCUUCACAUUUAAGUAAUUGACAGACUUUUUUUACUGCUGAUUGCUAAACCUGAAAACCAAAAGCCAUAAAAUAAACCAAGAAAUACCAGUACAAUAGCAUAGUUCUUAAAUUAAAAGAGAAACGUAGAAGACAAUGUUGAAGCAAAGAUUCAUACCUGAUGAAGCAAGGGAAUCCAAAAAUCCCAAAAACAGAAACGGCAGAGAAAAUCACAGUCUAGUGUGUCUUUGAAUUCUUUCGGGCGUCGGCUACAAAAAAGCU
rnacentral:lncRNA from 1 species